rnacentral:rRNA from 1 species
UACGUAGGGGGCAAGCGUUGUCCGGAAUCAUUGGGCGUAAAGAGCGUGUAGGCGGCCUGGUAAGUCCGCUGUGAAAGUCCAGGGCUCAACCCUGGAAUGCCGGUGGAAACUGUCAGGCUCGAGUCCGGAAGAGGCGAGUGGAAUUCCUGGUGUAGCGGUGAAAUGCGCAGAUAUCAGGAGGAACACCAAUGGCGAAGGCAAUCCCCUGGGCCUGCACUGACGCUCAUGCACGAAAGCGUGGGGAGCAAACAGG